rnacentral:rRNA from 1 species
AUUGAACGCUGGCGGCAGGCCUAACACAUGCAAGUCGAGCGGAGUGGCGGACGGGGGAGUAAUGCCAAGGAAUCUGCCUGGUCGUGGGGGAUAACGUCCGGAAACGGGCGCUAAUACCGCAUACUAUCAGAUGAGCCUCGGUCGGAUUGGCUAGUUGGUGGGGGAAAGGCCUAACAAGGCGACGAUCAGUAACUGGUCUGGGAGGAUGAUCAGUCACACUGGGACUGAGACACGGUCCAGACUCCUACGGGAGGCAGCAGUGGGGAAUAUUGGCCAAUGGGCGAAAGCCUGAUCCAGCCAUGCCGCGUGUUGGAAGAAGGUCUUCGGAUUGUAAAGCACUUUAAGUUGGGAGGCGUUACCAACAGAAUAAGCACCGGCUAACUUCGUGCCAGCAGCCGCGGUAAUUC